rnacentral:rRNA from 1 species
UACGUAAGGGGCAAGCGUUGUCCGGAUUUAUUGGGCGUAAAGAGCGUGUAGGCGGCCAUACAGGUCAGCUGUGAAAACUCGAGGCUCAACCUCGAGACGUCGGUUGAAACCAUCUGGCUAGAGUCCGGAAGAGGAGUGUGGAAUUCCCGGUGUAGCGGUGAAAUGCGCAGAUAUCGGGAAGAACACCCGUGGCGAAGGCGGCACUCUGGGACGGUACUGACGCUGAGACGCGAAAGCGUGGGGAGCGAACAGG